CUCAUGUCUGUCCUCUCUUCUACCAGGUCCUGGGAGGAACUCUGUCAGCCUGGAGGACUAAAGCUCCUUUGCCUUCUCUGGAAAUUGCCACGUGCAGCACACAGACAUACAUGGCCUCAAUGCACUUCCAUCCAUAUGCUGGAGUUCUUGAAUAAUUAAAGCCACUUUACAUCAAGGGUGAUCCAUAAAGGAAGUCAUUUUGCAUGUGAAAAGCUGUGAAGAGUGGAAGACAUUGGGGUAUCGCAGUCAGCAGAGAGCAUCUGAGAUCGGUUAUAGCACGUUAGCCUUCAGCUGAGGAGCAGCUCCUUGAAGCAGCACCAGGACACCGGUGUCACACUGCUGAGAAGAGCCCAUGGGAGAAGAAGCCCUGAUGCAAGCCUUGACUUGGUAAGCAACGCACAAAAGGCUGCCAAUGGGAACAAAUGUA